rnacentral:rRNA from 1 species
GAUGAACGCUGGCGGCGUGCCUAACACAUGCAAGUCGAACGGAGUCCAGCCUUUAAGACCUUCGGGUCAAAGAGGGGAAGACUGAGUGGCGGACGGGUGAGUAACACGUGGGCAACCUGGCUCAUAGAGGGGGAUAACAGAGAGAAAUUUCUGCUAAUACCGCAUAAGCACACACUGCCGCAUGGCAGAGGGUGAAAAGAGAAUCGCUAUGAGAUGGACCCGCGUCUGAUUAGCCAGUUGGCAGGGUAAGAGCCUACCAAAGCGACGAUCAGUAGCCGAUCUGAGAGGAUGAACGGCCACAUUGGGACUGAGACACGGCCCAAACUCCUACGGGAGGCAGCAGUGGGGGAUAUUGCACAAUGGGGGGAACCCUGAUGCAGCGACGCCGCGUGAGUGAAGAAGUAUUUCGGUAUGUAAAGCUCUAUCAGCAGGGAAGAUAAGACA